AAGAGACAGUUUGAGAAUCAUUGGUCUUCCUGAAAACUGUGAAUGUUAAAAAUUGUAAAGGUUUAAACUGUAAAGGGUUUGGCCCAAACUGUAAAGGAUAGUUUUUAGUGUUUUGACUUAAAAUCUAAAAUAAGUGGUUGCUAAGGGAAAUUUUCAAAUAUGAAAAUACCCAAGUCAGCUGGGAACUACUCAGACUAUACCUUAGAAGAAUCUGAGUAGUUUUAAGAUUCACAAAAGCCAAAAAUAAACAGAAACCUUGACAUCAUACUACAAGAAAUUAUCCAAUAAAACUGGCCUGAUGUUCUUGAACAAGAGGGCGAAAUCAACAAUGAAAGAGUUAAUAGAAUACUCUCUACACUAAAUCCUCAAAAGACAACUUCCAGGAAUAUAAUUGCCAAAUUCAAGAGCUUCCAAGCUAAGGAGAAAAUUUUACAAGAAGUCAAAAAGAGACAAUUCAGAUACCAAGGAGCACCGAUCAGGAUUAUACAAGAUCUGGCAGCUUCCACACUAAAGGACAACAAGGCUUGGAGUAUGAUAUUUAGAAAGGCAAGACAAUUGGGUCUACUGUGAUUGGAAGAUGUUGAAACUUAGGGGAGGUUACAUAGGAGAAAGUUCUCUUUAAAAGGAGGUCAGAAGGCCUCUGAAAGUUAAUUCAAGUUUGGAGCUGAAUUGGAGGUCAGAGGAGGCUGCUGGGGCUCUGAGAGAGUGCAACUUUGUUAGCUGAGUUGGAGCUCGGACUAGUUGGAGUAGCUGGGUCUCUCAGAACACUAGAAUCUUGCUUGGGACAAAAUCUUGUGAUGUAAGAUUGCAAAGGAGAUCUGGGGCGAUCAACAAACACCUGGCCUUGGUUGACUAGGACUUCCUUUAUCAGUGGCAAUCCAGUUACAACUAUCAUGGGAGCACUGAGCAGAUCCAUGGAGAAAAUAUUUCCAUAUUUCCUGACACACUGAAAAAAGGAUGACAGUUCAGAAGGGAUCUCAAUGGCCAUCUGAUCCGAGUCAUAAGGAAAAAAAUUACUCCACAAUGACUCAUCCCAGAAGUGAUGAACAUCUGAGUUUCUCCGAGUUCCAAAGGAGGUAAAUGUCCCCCACCCCCACCCCCCGGGGCUCUAAAGCAGAUUUUUUUCCCAUCAUAAGAGGCUGCUUCCAGGUAGAGUCCAGCAGGGAUGAUCACAGGCAGGUUUGUAGCCACCCAGUUCCUCUGCCCCCUCACAGCUGGUGGAUUCUUGCAUUCCCCUCGCACUCCUUACCUCCUGGAUGCUGAUAUGGGGUUUUUUAAUGUCUAUCUCGAAGACGUUGCCAAAUAUGGGCAGCCGAAGAGGCCCCAGGGGGUAUUUAGGCUGCUGCCUCCUC